GAUGAACGCUGGCGGCGUGCCUAAUACAUGCAAGUCGAGCGAACAGAUGAGGAGCUUGCUCCUCUGACGUUAGCGGCGGACGGGUGAGUAACACGUGGAUAACCUACCUAUAAGACUGGGAUAACUUCGGGAAACCGGAGCUAAUACCGGAUAAGAUAUUGAACCGCAUGGUUCAAUAGUGAAAGACGGUUUUGCUGUCACUUAUAGAUGGAUCCGCGCCGCAUUAGCUAGUUGGUAAGGUAACGGCUUACCAAGGCAACGAUGCGUAGCCGACCUGAGAGGGUGAUAGGCCACACUGGAACUGAGACACGGUCCAGACUCCUACGGGAGGCAGCAGUAGGGAAUCUUCCGCAAUGGGCGAAAGCAUGACGGAGCAACGCCGCGUGAGUGAUGAAGGUCUUCGGAUCGUAAAACUCUGUUAUUAGGGAAGAACAAAUGUGUAAGUAACUAUGCACGUCUUGACGGUACCUAAUAAGAAAGCCACGGCUAACUACGUG
rnacentral:rRNA from 1 species